GAUGAAGAACGUAGCGAAAUGCGAUACGUAAUGUGAAUUGCAAAUUCAGUGAAUCAUCGAGUCUUUGAACGCACAUUGCGCCCGCUGGUAUUCCGGCGGGCAUGCCUGUUCGAGCGUCAUUUCAACCCUCAAGCUCUCCGGAGUUUGGUGUUGGGGCGCCUGGGGCUUUUCGACCUCAGGGCCCUCAAGUCCAUCGGCGGGACCGCCAGGACACUGAGCGCAGUAGUAUUAUUUCGCUCGGUAGGAUCUUCCACGGCGGGUCGAUCUGGCCGCUAAACCCCCCAAUUCUCACCAAAGGUUGACCUCGGAUCAGGUAGGAAUACCCGCUGAACUUAAGCAUAUCAAUAAGCGGAGGA
rnacentral:misc_RNA from 1 species